CCCUUUGAUACUCUGGGCGGAACGCGCGCUACACUGGUUUAUAUAACGUGUAAUUUGGACGAUAGUCUGUAUAAAUCACUAAUAUAAAACCGUGAAUGGGAUAGUUUAUUGCAACUUACAAACUUUAACUAGGAAUCCCUUGUAGAAGUAGUGAAUUAUACUGCUUCGAAUACGUCCCUGCCGAUUGUACACACCGCCCGUCGUUUCUUCCGACUGGUACUCAUUGUGAAUUGCGAGGAGAUUCUGUCAAAUCGUUGUAAAUGCUGGGUAUUGGAGGAAGAAAAAGUCGUAACA
rnacentral:rRNA from 1 species